rnacentral:rRNA from 1 species
AAAGUGGAGCAAUCCAUGAGUAGAGUGGCAAACGGGUGAGUAACACGUGGGUGACCUGCCUUCGAGCGGGGGAUAACGUCCCGAAAGGGACGCUAAUACCGCAUAACAUCCUGCCUUUUAAGAGGUGGAGAUCAAAGCCGGGGAUCGCAAGACCUGGCACUUGAAGAGGGGCCCGCGCCUGAUUAGCUAGUUGGUGGGGUAAUGGCUCACCAAGGCAACGAUCAGUAUCCGGCCUGAGAGGGCGGACGGACACACUGGGACUGAGACACGGCCCAGACUCCUACGGGAGGCAGCAGUGGGGAAUUGUUCGCAAUGGGCGCAAGCCUGACGACGCAACGCCGCGUGGAGGAUGAAGACCUUCGGGUCGUAAACUCCUUUCGAUCGAGACGAAUGGUUUCCGGGUGAACAAUCCGGAGAAAUGACGGUACCGAGAGAAGAAGCCCCGGCUAACUCCGUGCCAGCAGCCGCGGUAAUACGGGGGGGGCAAGCGUUGUUCGGAAUUACUGGGCGUAAAGGGCUCGUAGGUGGCCAACUAAGUCAGACGUGAAAUCCCUCAGCUUAACUGGGGAACUGCGUCUGAUACUGGAUGGCUUGAGUUUGGGAGAGGGAUGCGGAAUUCCAGGUGUAGCGGUGAAAUGCGUAGAUAUCUGGAGGAACACCGGUGGCGAAGGCGGCAUCCUGGACCAAUACUGACACUGAGGAGCGAAAGCCAGGGGAGCAAACGGGAUUAGAUACCCCGGUAGUCCUGGCCCUAAACAAUGAAUGCUUGGUGUGGCGGGUAUCGAUCCCUGCCGUG